CAACAAACUUUACAAAUGGUAGCAAUCGCGAAGGGGAUCUUCGGAAGAGCUGGGAGGAGCAGCGUGUCUUUCGUACAUAAAUGAAGUAUUUCAAUGAAUACGCUGCCACGUAAUUGUCGGGCUUUCCAGUGAACAUUUAGUGGUCGUGCGGUGCGUAUAUCAAGCACUGUCGACAUGCUUGACCCUGUGCAAGUACUGUGGCUAGUCGCCGUGGCCGCUCUGUGGGGGUUUUCAGCCCCGCUCUUGCGUCGAGGAGGCAAAGGUGUGGAAGAUAUCAAACGCCAAGGAGCACUGAACCAGUGGCUAGCGGAAGUUAAGUUCCUUGCGACCAGGCCUCAGUAUGUGCUGCCAUUCCUAAUAAACCAGAGUGGGUCUGCCAUUUAUGCAUUGGCCCUAGGAUCUGCAGACUUGUCCUUGGCGGUGCCGCUUACCAAUUCUCUCAACUUCAUCUUUGUCACCUUGGCUGGGCGUAUUCUGGGUGAAACAACCACUAGCACUCGCACAUACAUUGGCAUGGCCUUCGUGACUACAGGAGUAACACUGUGUGUUGCCGACAAAGCCUGGAACCAAGCGAUGCUCACGCUCAAGGUGGUGGUGGUCGGAAGCUGCGCCUGCGGGAAGACCACGCUGAUACGAACUUUCCUGCGCGAUGACGUCAGGGGCUCCGUGCCCGCGCCAACCGUCCAGGAAGUCUACGUCGGUCACAUGCAGCACGACGGCAAGAAGACGUGUCGUCGCCGACUGCUGCGCAGGUCCGGCUGGUCAUCUGGGACACGGGCGACUCUGACCUGCUGUGCGACCCGCACCGGGCCUCUUGCUACGCCGAAGCCGACGUGGUGCUCAUCUGCUUCUCGGUGCGCGACAUCUUCUCCGGCAGCGAGGUGCCGACUCGCUGGGCGACCGAAGUGCGACACUUCAACCCGAACGUGCCCGUGCUGCUGGUCGCCACGCAAAUGGACCUUCGCGAGGACCCCGUGACCGUUCAGGAGCUGGCGCAGAUCAAGUGCCGGCCCUCUAGCGUCGCCGAGGGUCUACAGCUGGCCCAGAAGAUCCAGGCGGCGCACUACGUCGAGUGCUCGGCGCUAGACCUUGCCAGCGUGCGCAAGGUCUUCGAGAGCGUGUUACACACCUGCCUCAGGACGACGCAAAGUCGACAGAAGAAGUCAAGGUGGAAGUGCUGCUGCUGACGUCAUCAUGCGCCGAACAAUUCCUCUGUAUCUAGUCACACGACACGCUGGGCCAAAGAAUCGAACGGUGUCAUUUGGCUGCAGACAGGCUUUCAGCUACAUUCCAAUCGACGUUCGUUUAUGCACGACCUGCCGCUGCACUCCUUGCUGCAGACCGGAUGGGGAGACGUAUACUGUUGCGAACUAUAUGUGCCUUUAUUUUGCAGGUGACCUGAUAUUUCUAGAGGAGAUAUUUUCAACACAUCUUUGCCAGGAAAGUCUAUUUAUAGCCUACGUACCACCUUAUGUUGCGCCAUGUUCUGCUUGCGAGAGUCUCCAAACGAUAUCCGCAGGGUACAAAGAUAGCGUUGUUUAUCGUUUGUUGUUGUUAACGAUCGAAAGUGUGAUAUGCGAGCCGUAUGUGUUGUGUCAGUCGUGAGAUUCACGUCAGGUUUUAGCAAAUGAUUGAGACUUUAGCGCGAGAGAGAAGCUCUUAAAAGGAAGGGAUGUGAUAUGCAGUUUAGGAAUUUUGGGACCAAUUACGUGACCUGACGAAGAGUUAGUUGACAAGACGCUUGCACGUUGAUGUCUUUAAAUGAGUGUUGUUCAUAAACAUGUAUUUAUGCCCAAACCA